CCACACAUGGUCUAUCCUUUAAGGA
rnacentral:tRNA from 1 species